GACGUAGGGCGCGAGCGUUGUCCGGAUUUAUUGGGCGUAAAGAGCUCGUAGGCGGCUUGUCGCGUCGUCCGUGAAAACCUGGGGCUCAACUCCGGGCUUGCGGGCGAUACGGGCAGGCUAGAGUUCGGUAGGGGAGACUGGAAUUCCUGGUGUAGCGGUGAAAUGCGCAGAUGUCAGGAGGAACACCGGUGGCGAAGGCGGGUCUCUGGGCCGAUACUGACGCUGAGGAGCGAAAGCGUGGGGAGCGAACAGG
rnacentral:rRNA from 1 species